rnacentral:lncRNA from 12 species
AGAAUGUCUGGACUAGCAGGUUAUUUGAGAACCAAAGGAAACUUGUGUAUAGCUGAAGAUGUUUCUCCUCUUGUUCUGAAUCAUUAUUUUGAUCUUUCACUGAAUGGUUCAUACUGUGGGCCCUCUGGGACUUAAUUCAACAAGACCGAAUCCGAAAACAUCAUUCUCCUCUUUAAACCAGCUCUUCCUUUUCUCUUAAUUCAAUUUUAUCAUCCUUUCAACCACCAUAAGAUUUUGUCCACCAAGGGCCUCAAGAAUCCACUAGUCUCUUCUCCAGCAUCCUCUACCCUCCUCUCCUAGGCCCUCCUUUCCCUCUGACGUGCAAUAGCACACCACUUCUCUUCCCUGCCUUAAUUUCUGCCCUUUUUACUGCAUCGUGUGGAGUCCCCCAGCCAAAUGCAUCUCCAUAAGAUGCCGUUUUGAAUCUAUAAUUUUUAAAAAAGAUUUUAUUUAUUUAUUCAUGAGAGACACAGUGAGAGUGAGAAGCAGGUUUCCUGUGGGGAUUGCCAUGGGGGACUCGAUCUCAGGAUCCCAGGAUCAUGACCUGGACCGAAGGCAGAUGCUCAACCACUGAGCCACCGGAUGUUCCUUGAAUCUAUAACUUUUAAAGAACUCAGCUAAGAUAAUGAAUCUUUCAGAGGAAGACUGAUCAUGUGAAGGAACAAGCAGUCCCUGGUGCUCACUCUCAGUUGCCUCGGAUGAAUUUAUUACAGAGGUGGAGUUGGAGAAUCAUCGUCACCUAGGGCUCUCAGCGUCAACAUUCUUCAUGAUAUUGUCAGCCCAUUUUGAUACAGGGAAUUAGAGCUGCAAGAUCCUUUUGUGUCUUUCUGACCCCAAAGAAAUAUGCAUUCCUAACCUUUACUCCAAAAAUAGUCUUUUAUGGCCAUUUUAUUUUUUAACAUUAUGGACUGUAUAAAAAAUCAUGAAAUUAUAAUGUGUAAUACACCAGAGGGGAUCUGGAGACAUUUGUAUCAUGUUCAGUGAAAAGAUCCAUUACAUUUACUUUAUAUAAUUGUAUACUUUGUAAAUAUUAGAUAUUGAGUGUGCUUAAAAUGUUCAAAUAAAAUCCUUCAGUUUUUUUUUUUUUUAAGAUUU